GCCGCUUUAGCUCAGCUGGUUAGAGUGGCUGUUUUGUAAACAGCAGGUCCUCGGUUCGAUUCCGAGAAGCGGCUCCA
rnacentral:tRNA from 2 species